GCUCCUCGAAGACAAUAGAUGCCCCUGUUCAGAAUGGUUCCAAGAAUUAAUGUUUUGUGCUGCUCAUUGUGAUUUCUGAGAUUCAGAGUCACUGAACACACAUAUGUGCACGAGGUUUCUUUCUCUCAUUUUCUACACACUUUCUGCACAGAGUCUGUUCGUGUAAACCUUCUCCCCUUCCCCCCAUGUCUCUCCCUUUCUGUCCCCCUCGUCCUCCCCUCCCUCUCACUCUCACUUACAGCCUGCGAGCACUAUUUCAAGCCUCCAUCAGAAGGAGCGAAGGAGAGCGAGUCACAGAGGUCGGGGGGGAGGGGCCGGCAGACAGGAUUUGGAGUUCAAGUGCAUGUGGAGAAAAUGACCUGGGAGACAGAGAGCGGAAUGUUAAAGCGCAGUCUGGAAUAUCCUCCUCUUCUUUUUUUCAGCCACAGAUUUUUGCAUAAAGAAGGUGAGAUAAAAAAAAAAAAAACAUGCACUCUCAAAAGAGUAAAUGAAAGAAAAUCGAACGCCGGGAGAUGAGAGUGGAGGACAAAAAAAAAAAGUAUUCCGGCCCCCUCCCCUGAACUCUCGGCUACGGCUCACUCCUCCUUCUUCCCUCCCUCCCGUGAACCCCUUAGCCUCUCUUUUCUAUCUGUCGUUCCCUCUCUGUCAUUCUCUCUCCUCCCACCUCCUCAUGCGGUCGCUUGCAUACACAUGCGCCCUUACAAUCUCACUCUCUUUUCCUCUCUCUCCGCCGGCUGCAGUGCUUCUCUUCUCAUCCUUGCAGCCUGGCAGCUUCAUCCGUGUUCCUCCCUCCUGGACGGAGAAACACGCACAGCCUUUCCAAUGGUCCCCCACCCCUCUGCGUGCCUCCCUAAAAAAAAACAGGCCCCUUAAACAGCUCCUUUUCUUACUUGUCUCGGUGUCUGUUCACCGUUCGCUCUCCUUUGCAUUUCACCUACAUUCUUUUUUUUUUCCCCGUUAAAUAAUUUGCCAGCUCAAUCCAACAAAUUUUCGCGUUCAUAAUGUGUAAGCAGUUCAGAGUGCUUAAUGAACAGUAGGAAAUGGGAUGGGUAGGAGGAAAAAAACGCUAAGAGGAGAGAAGUGACUGGGAUAGCGGAGAGGAGGAAGGAUCCGGAGCAACGAGAGAAAGAGCCAAACGUGGGAUCACGAAACCGCGGGAAAAGGAGGAGGAUCGACCAGACUGAUCUCAGUUCUUAUUCAGCUGGAAGAAAUGCCAGUUACAUAAAAACCCCUCUAAUUUUGGGAUCAUCAUAAUUUCUCCUUCCCCAAAACCAGAAUGAUGGAAAGAAUUUCUGCAUGUACGACUUAAUAUCAUAAGCAUUUGGAACAUCAUGUUGGUCGCAACCUUAGACGAUUUGAAGACGGCACUCGAUUAAGAGAAGAAACCAUCAUUGUGAUGCAGUUACUUUUUCUUUUGCAAAA